rnacentral:rRNA from 1 species
CACGUAGGGCGCGAGCGUUGUCCGGAAUUAUUGGGCGUAAAGAGCUCGUAGGCGGCCUGUUGCGUCCGCUGUGAAAGCCCGGGGCUUAACCCCGGGUCUGCAGUGGAUACGGGCAGGCUAGAGGUAGGUAGGGGAGAAUGGAGUUCCGGGUGUAGUGGUGGAAUGCGUAGAGAUCCGGAGGAACACCAGCGGCGAAGGCGGCAUCCUGGACUGGUCCUGACACUCAUGAGCGAAAGCGUGGGGAGCGAUCCGG